rnacentral:rRNA from 1 species
AUAGAUACCCAGGUAGUCCACGCCGUAAACGAUGAGUGCUAAGUGUUAGAGGGUUUCCGCCCUUUAGUGCUGCAGCUAACGCAUUAAGCACUCCGCCUGGGGAGUACGGUCGCAAGACUGAAACUCAAAGGAAUUGACGGGGGCCCGCACAAGCGGUGGAGCAUGUGGUUUAAUUCGAAGCAACGCGAAGAACCUUACCAGGUCUUGACAUCCUCUGACAACUCUAGAGAUAGAGCGUUCCCCUUCGGGGGACAGAGUGACAGGUGGUGCAUGGUUGUCGUCAGCUCGUGUCGUGAGAUGUUGGGUUAAGUCCCGCAACGAGCGCAACCCUUGAUCUUAGUUGCCAGCAUUUAGUUGGGCACUCUAAGGUGACUGCCGGUGACAAACCGGAGGAAGGUGGGGAUGACGUCAAAUCAUCAUGCCCCUUAUGACCUGGGCUACACACGUGCUACAAUGGAUGGUACAAAGGGCUGCAAGACCGCGAGGUCAAGCCAAUCCCAUAAAACCAUUCUCAGUUCGGAUUGGU